CAAUGUUCUUUUUCUUUUCUUUCUUUUUUUUUUUUUUUUUUUUUUUGGUUUGAUGUCUGAUCUUAUUUAUUUGUUCCUCUUACAACAAUCUCAUUUUUGACUAGACUCAGGCUUUGAGGUAGAAGCUCUCAGAGAAGUCAGCCUCCGUCUCUUGGCAAUCUGUUCCUGGUGUUAGAUCAGAAGAGCAU